rnacentral:rRNA from 1 species
CCCGAAUUCAGAAGAGUUAGUCGAUUAUAAAUUUUAUUGUUAAAUAAAUAUUUAUAAUUUUUGGCUAGUAAUGAAACGUUAUUCGUUUCUGAAUUUAUCUGGUUUUUUAAGAAAUAGAUUUAAUUUAUACUAAUUUAAUAUUUUUUUAAUUUUUUAAUAAAAUAUUUGUUUAGUUAAAUAUCCAAGGGGAUUAGCUUUUGGAUACAUUUAUAAGUUUAUAAAAAUAGAUAAUUCAUAGGAUUAGAAUUUUCCAUUGAUAGGAGGAUGUUAUAAUCAGUUAUUUAUAUUUUUUUAUUUGUAUAAAUUUUAGGUUUUUUAUUAAAAUGUUAGUUUUAAUUUUGUAAAUUAAGUAAUAAUGAUUAAAUUAGUAUAAUUUUUUGUAUUUUUAAAUUUAAAUUUAAGGUUGUAUUAAGGAACUCGGCAAAUUAUUUUUCACCUGUUUAAUAAAAACAUGGCUUUUUGUGAAGGAUUUAAGGUCUGGCCUGCCCAAUGAGAAGUUUAAUGGCCGCAGUAUUUUGACUGUGCAAAGGUAGCAUAAUCAUUAGUUUCUUAAUUAGAAGCUGGAAUGAAAGGUUUGAUGAGAAAAUAACUGUCUCAAUACAAUUGAUUUAGAAUUUUAAUUUUAAGUGAAAAAGCUUAAAUUUUUUAAAAAGACGAGAAGACCCUAUAGAGUUUUACAUUUGUUUUAAAUAAGUAAUUUUGGAUUUAAUUUUAUUUAUUUAUUAUAAUUGUUUUGUUGGGGUGAUGUUAAAAUUUGAUAAACUUUUAUUUUAUAGAUACAUUGAUUUAUGAAUAUUUGAUCCUGAUUUUUGGAUUACAAGAUUAAAUUACCUUAGGGAUAACAGCGUAAUUUUUUUUGGAGAGUUCUUAUCGAUAAAAAAGUUUGCGACCUCGAUGUUGGAUUAAAAUUUAAUUUGGGUGUAGAAGCUUAAAUUUUAGGUCUGUUCGACCUUUAAAAUUUUACAUGAUCUGAGUUUAAACCGGUGUGAGCCAGGUUGGUUUCUAUCUUUUAAUUUGGAAAAUAUUUUAGUACGAAAGGACCAAAUAU